AAGUGGUAAUAUUGAAAACGAAAGUAAACAAAACAGGUGCCCGAAAUUUCGACCGAGAUAAAUAAUUUACUACUUAACUUCUAAUUUUCAUGAUUUAAGUAAUGCAAAUUCACUGACACCAAAAGACAAACAUAAUUUGAUUCAAUUGUUGCACAUACCAGAAGCUUGCAGCCAGGAUUGAUGAUACACAUGUUCCUGGCUUUCCGGAAUGGUUCAACCUGAAAUAUGAGGAUGAUGACGAUAUAUACACGGCAAGGCUAGAAGAGGAGUUCCAGGAUGGUGACGUUUUGAUCCGUGUUUAGAAUAUAAGAAAGGUGGUGAGACAAAUGCAUCUUGACAUGCUGUUUAAUGAUUAGUGAACGACAUUAACAUAACAGAAGGGGAGCUAUUACCACAUGUUUUAAGUCAGAAUACUUGCAUUUAUGUUGUACAUUUUUUUUUGUCAGUGUGUGAUUUUACAGACAUGUUGUGUUUGACUGUAGUUUGCCAUUAUUGUUUAUGGCAAAUGUGAUUGUUUAUAUAGAGGAUAUUUGUUGGAUUCGGUGGAAUAUCGAUUUUAUUUCACGAGUGAUCAUAUAAAAUAUGUAUUUUUUAUGAUCACGAGUGAAUUAAAAUGGAUAUGCUAUCGAAUCCAACAAAUUUUCUUUUCAUUUUAAGCUUUUUUCACCGUUUAUUUACAUUGUAAAAGAGUUAAACUGUAUAAUUUCGCUGGAUUUAUGACGUCAUUUCGUUGAAAAAAUGACGUCAUUUCACAAUAAAACAGUGAAAAAUAUCGACAUUUUUCACUGUUUCAAACAGUGAAAUACCAGUUUUAUUUCACUGAUAUUUUUCUAUAAACCACCUGAAAGCAUAAAAUAAAUUAUUUUCUUACUUUGACAUUCACAUAUUUAACAUUAAUCAGCAGACAACUUGUAUUCUGCAUCAUAAUAUCACAUUAAUAAUUUCAACACUCAAAAUGUGUUUUUUACAUGAAAAAUCGCCUUUUUUUUCAAUUUUCAAAGGGAGAUAACUCCGCUAAUAGUCAACCGAUUUUCUUUUUUUUUACAGUGUUGUACUUGUUAUGUCAUUCCUUUCAAAACUAUACAUAUAAUCACUAAGUUCUCACCAAAGAACUAAUUAAAUAGCUUGAAAUGUGUUUUUAGCAGACAAAUCACAUUUUUUGAAAUUUUCAAAGGGGGAUAACUCCACUUACGUUCAACCGAUUUUCAUUUUUUUUUUCAUUUUUGUACUUGUGAUGUAAUUCCCUU